UCCUCGCCGCACGGACGGGAGCGGUUUUGUUUCGGGUACUCCAUCCGCAGCUCUUCGUUUAGUAGUGGUCCGUGUGACGCCUGCACUGGUGCUGAUCAGUCGCUGUGUAUUUGCGUUAGCGUUUGCUUGGUUGUCUUCAUAGCUGUGGAAUGAACUGCGUUAAUAAAAUGCGCUCCUCUCUCUCACACGGACAUGUAAAGCGAGUAAUUGCGCUCCUGCCGUCAGUCUGUUCAAGAACUCAGUUUGGAAGAUGGUAGGAGAUGGCUGAAGGAGUACCGUGAAGCCUUUUGCUGUGGUCUGACUGUACAGAUCCCAAAACAUAUUCCAGUUGCAGAUACAACGUGUGCUUCUCAAGUAAAUGGGCACACUGGGAGCCUACAGACUUACUCAGGGGACUUCUUGCAGUACCUGUAGAAGAAAAGACCAGGAGAUGCUUUUUGUGGAGAUAGCUGUGCUACACCUCCAUCCAGCUGAGUCUUGGAAUUCCCUCUUUGGACAAACUUCUGUGACAGAAGGUACUGUGUUGUCUUACAGCAAUCACUUUGUGUGCCUUGAAAACUCAGAUGACUUUCAAAAUAGAAACAGCCAGCUUCAGUUGAAUGUGAUGGUCUUUGAGGUGCCUUCCAAUGGAACUGUUGUAUUCUGUUCUGCGCUAAUAAUACAAAAUCAUCACAUUCUGUUUGCUGUGGGAGUGUGGUGGAAGGUGAGCAGGGUUACUGCUUUUUAGUUUGUUUAAUGGCUGUAUGAUAGAAGAUGGAUAUAUUUGCACUUCACUGCUAUCUAAUCAUCGCAGAAGGUGGGCACACGAGCGGCACUGAUUCUGCUGUGGUGCUAAAGAUUUUAACUUGAAUGCUGUGGUGCUAAAUUCUGAGUGGUACUGUGCUGCUCAGACACCCUUUCUGCUGAGUUUCAUAUGCAAAUAAAACCAAGAGGGGAGUUCCUAACAAACAGCGGCGUGUUUUUUACAUGCUAAAAACUUCCUGACAUGUGAGAGAUGGGCUGUAAGUCUGAUAGUUUCAGUGACCCGUGCCACGCUCAGAGCGUGGGUUGGUCCCCCGGUCACAGCAGGGCUCCCUGAUAAGUGAACUGUGCCAGUCGUAAUUACGCUCUUUGACCCUUCCCUGAUAAAGCUAUCAAGCGUCAGACUUUGCUAGGCGCGUCACGCUCAAACAAUCAGAUUUGCAUGGUGACGGGGCGUGCGGGUAAGGGCAGCAGCAGCCUCACAGUGACUUCAGCCUUAAAAAUACCGUGAGAAGAGCUGAAAGCGUCGCUGAGAGCGCG